CUUGUCUAUGUCCAGCUGCACAACGAGAUGAGGCUGGUCAUUGUCAUUUUCUGAGCUGUGAACGGGCAGCAAGCUGCACAACGAGAUGAGACUGGUCAUUGUCAUUUUCUGAGCUGUGAACGGGCAUCAAGCUGCACAACGAGAUGAGACUGGUCAUUGUCAUUUUCUGAGCUGUGAACGGGCAGGAAGCUGCACAACGAGAUGAGACUGGUCAUUGUCAUUUUCUGAGCUGUGAACGGGCAGGAAGAUGCACAACGAGAUGAGGCUGGUCAUUGUCAUUUUCUGAGCUGUGAACGAGCAGGAAGCUGCACAACGGGAUGAGGCUGGUCAUUGUCAUUUUCUGAGCUGUGAACGGGCAGGAAGCUGCACAACGGGAUGAGGCUGGUCAUUGUCAUAUUCUGAGCUGUGAACGGGCAGGAAGCUGCACAACGAGAUGAGGCUGGUCAUUGUCAUUUUCUGAGCUGUGAAAGGGCAGGAAGCUGCACAACGAGAUGAGGCUGGUCAUUGUCAUUUUCUGAGCUGUGAACGGGCAGGAAGCUGCACAACGAGAUGAGGCUGGUCAUUGUCAUUUUCUGAGCUGUGAACGGGCAGGAAGCUUCACAACGAGAUGAGGCUGGUCAUUGUCAUUUUCUGAGCUGUGAACGGGCAGGAA